UACGGGGGGGGCAAGCGUUGUUCGGAAUUACUGGGCGUAAAGGGUUCGUAGGUGGCCUGCUAAGUCAGACGUGAAAUCCCUCAGCUUAACUGGGGAACUGCGUCUGAUACUGAGUGGCUUGAGUGCAGGAGAGGAAUGCGGAAUUCCAGGUGUAGCGGUGAAAUGCGUAGAUAUCUGGAGGAACACCGGUGGCGAAGGCGGCAUUCUGGACUGUAACUGACACUGAGGAACGAAAGCCAGGGGAGCAAACAGG
rnacentral:rRNA from 1 species